rnacentral:rRNA from 1 species
GGGCCCGCACAAGCGGUGGAGCAUGUGGUUUAAUUCGACGCAACGCGAAGAACCUUACCUGGGCUCGAACGGCUGCAGACGGCUGGUGGAAACACUGGCUUUCCCGCAAGGGACUGUAGUCGAGGUGCUGCAUGGCUGUCGUCAGCUCGUGUCGUGAGAUGUUGGGUUAAGUCCCGCAACGAGCGCAACCCUUGUCCUGUGUUGCUAACCGAAAGGUGCACUCUCAGGAGACCGCCAGCGAUAAGUUGGAGGAAGGUGGGGAUGACGUCAAGUCAUCAUGGCCUUUAUGUCCAGGGCUACACACGUGCUACAAUGGGCGGUACAAAGCGCUGCAAACCCGCGAGGGGGAGCUAAUCGCAAAAAACCGUUCUCAGUUCGGAUUGCAGGCUGCAACUCGCCUGCAUGAAGCUGGAAUCGCUAGUAAUGGCAUAUCAGAACGAUGCCGUGAAUACGUUCCCGGGCCUU